rnacentral:rRNA from 1 species
CGGGGCUUAGUGCCGGAGCUAACGCAAUAAGCACUCCGCCUGGGGAGUACGACCGCAAGGUUGAAACUCAAAGGAAUUGACGGGGGCCCGCACAAGCGGUGGAGCAUGUGGUUUAAUUCGAAGCAACGCGAAGAACCUUACCAGGUCUUGACAUCCCGAUGCUAUUCUUAGAGAUAGGAAGUUACUUCGGUACAUCGGAGACAGGUGGUGCAUGGUUGUCGUCAGCUCGUGUCGUGAGAUGUUGGGUUAAGUCCCGCAACGAGCGCAACCCUUAUUGUUAGUUGCCAUCAUUAAGUUGGGCACUCUAGCGAGACUGCCGGUAAUAAACCGGAGGAAGGUGGGGAUGACGUCAAAUCAUCAUGCCCCUUAUGACCUGGGCUACACACGUGCUACAAUGGUCGGUACAACGAGUUGCGAGCCGGUGACGGCAAGCUAAUCUCUGAAAGCCGAUCUCAGUUCGGAUUGGAGGCUGCAACUCGCCUCCAUGAAGUCGGAAUCGCUAGUAAUCGCGGACCAGCACGCCGCGGUGAAUACGUUCCCGGGCCUUGUACACACCGCCCGUCACACCACGAGAGUUUGUAACACCCGAAGUCGGUGAGGUAACCUUUUAG